CCAUGACUUAUUAUAUUUCAACCAGGAAAUGAUACUUGCCAGCCAUGAUAUCUCAGUGGGCAAUGACACAAAAGAGAAGUGUUUCUUGUAUGAUAUUGUUGCAAAUGGUCGAACUGGAAUAGAUGUUGACAAGUUUGACUAUAUUAAACGAGAUUGCCGAACUUGUGGCCUUGGUUGCAAUUUUGAAUUUCAAAGGUUAAUGGAAUGCAUGCGGGUGAUAGAUGAUGAAAUAUGCUCUCAUGCCAAGUAGUAUCUUACAGUCCACAAACUGUUUACCACCCGGGCUGAUCUCUAUCGAACAGUAUAUACGCAUGCCAAAGUUAAGGCAAUGGAGUUCAUGUUUGUAGAUGCACUUCUAAAAGCAAACGGUUUUCUGAAAAGAAGAGUUUUAGAGAUUGAGGUUGAAGGAAUUCAUACUCCUACCUCUUCAACACAAGUAAUAUGCAU